GUGCUUGCUUUGGCAGCACAUAUACUAAAAAUAUUGGAACCAUAUAGAGAUACUAGCAUGGCUCCUGCGCAAGGAUGACACGCAAAUUCGUGAAGUGUUCCAUAUUUUU
ensembl:snRNA U6 U6 spliceosomal RNA